AUUGAACGCUGGCGGCAGGCCUAACACAUGCAAGUCGAACGAGUGGCGGACGGGUGAGUAAUGUCUGUGAAACUGCCUGAUGGAGGGGGAUAACUACUGGAAACUGUAGCUAAUACCGCCUACCUUCUGCUGUGCCCAGAUGGGAUUAGCUAGUUGGUGGGGUAAAGGCUAACCAAGGCGACGAACCCUAGCUGGUCUGAGAGGAUGACCAGCCACACUGGAACUGAGACACGGUCCAGACUCCUACGGGAGGCAGCAGUGGGGAAUAUUGCACAAUGGGCGCAAGCCUGAUGCAGCCAUGCCGCGUGUAUGAAGAAGGCCUUCGGGUUGUAAAGUACUUUCAGCGGGGAGGCGUUACCAGCAGAAGAAGCACCGGCUAACUCCGUGCCAGCAGCCGCGGUAAUAC
rnacentral:rRNA from 1 species